rnacentral:rRNA from 1 species
GCUUAACGCGAAGAACCUUACCCAGGCUUGACAUCCCUGGAAGGUCUCCGAAAGGAGACUGUGCCUUCGGGAAUCAGGUGACAGGUGCUGCAUGGCCGUCGUCAGCUCGUGUCGUGAGAUGUUUGGUUAAGUCCAUUAACGAGCGCAACCCUUGUAAGUAGUUGAAUUUUUCUACUUAGACCGCCUCGGUAACGGGGAGGAAGGAGGGGAUGAUGUCAGGUCAGUAUUGCCCUUACGCCUGGGGCUACAAACACGCUACAAUGGCCGGUACAAAGGGCAGCCAACCCGCGAGGGGAGCAAAUCCCAUCAAAACCGGUCCCAGUUCGGAUAGCAGGCUGAAAUUCGCCUGCUUGAAGUCGGAAUCGCUAGUAACGGUGAGUCAGCUAUAUUACCGUGAAUACGUUCCCGGGUCUUGUACACACCG